CCCGAUAUUUAGUCAAUGCUCGCAAGAGUGAACUAGCUAACUGAAAUCAUAGAAUUUUUUAAAAUUCAUGAUGUCGUAAGGGAAAAUAAUGAUAAUACCUUACUAUGAGUGUUGUCCAAAUYUGGUGCCAGAAGACUCGGUAAGACCAGAAACGCAAACGUUAAUCAUCAUAAACAGGCGUAAAGGGUUUGUAGGCAGCUUUUAUCAGAUUAUGCAUUUUAAAAUAAAGUAGUYUAAUUAAAAGCUAGAAUCAAAAAGAGGUUAUAGUGUAUAACGCCUAGAGGAGGGCUGAUAUCCAUAGAUCCUAGGCAGAAUACUAAGGGCGAAGGCCACUUUCCAUUAAUGAUUGACGCUGAGAAACGAAGGUUAGGGUAGGAAAUAGGAUUAGAUACCCCGGUACUCCUUUCUGUAAACGAUGAAUGGUAGUCAUUAGUUUUUUUCUUAGAAAAAAAAAAAUAACUAGAGACGAAGUUAACACAAUAACCAUUCCGCCUUGUGAGUACUACUGCAAAGUAGAAAACAAAAAAAUUAGUCGUCUCGAAGCAAACGGAGUGAAGCAUGUUUUUUAUUUA
rnacentral:rRNA from 1 species